UCUGGACAGCAACAGAACAUACAGUAUCAUACAGGGACAUUGUAAAUGCCAAAAAUAGUAUUUAGCCUGCAGCUCUAUCGAAGCAGAAGCAGAAUAGGAUCGGAAGCAGAAGAGCUUUAAUUACACAAUCAAAGACGGAGAGCUGCAUUUCCUCAAAAAAGAACAAGGAAACUCAAGUGGUAAAGGUUGUAAAAUCUGUUGUGGAGGUCAACACAAUCUUCAAAGAUUUUCAUGUCAGUGCAAUUGGGGCACACAUGGGAUUCAAUAAUGAUGCCAUUAGCAGGUUUUACUGGACUGGGAUGUGUAUUGACCUCAGAAAAUGGCAUGUACUCGGUGCCAGAAGAACAUCAAACACAUCCCAGUUCAAGUUCUGAACCAUUUGAGCUGGUUGGGAUGGACCUUGUG